rnacentral:rRNA from 1 species
UGGGGAAUAUUGCACAAUGGGCGCAAGCCUGAUGCAGCCAUGUCGCGUGUGUGAAGAAGGCCUUCGGGUUGUAAAGCACUUUCAGCGGGGAGGAAGGCGAUAAGGUUAAUAACCUCAUCGAUUGACGUUACCCGCAGAAGAAGCACCGGCUAAUUCCGUGCCAGCAGCCGCGGUAAUACGGAGGGUGCAAGCGUUAAUCGGAAUUACUGGGCGUAAAGCGCACGCAGGCGGUCUGUCAAGUCGGAUGUGAAAUCCCCGGGCUCAACCUGGGAACUGCAUUCGAAACUGGCAGGCUAGAGUCUUGUAGAGGGGGGUAGAAUUCCAGGUGUAGCGGUGAAAUGCGUAGAGAUCUGGAGGAAUACCGGUGGCGAAGGCGGCCCCCUGGACAAAGACUGACGCUCAGGUGCGAAAGCGUGGGGAGCAAACAGG